rnacentral:misc_RNA from 1 species
UGUACACUUACAAUAGAAGACAUCAUAUCGAUUGACUCCAGUUAGAUAAAAAUUUUGGCUGAAGAAUGCCGUCAUUACAAGGAAAGCAAGGAGGGGGAUAAUUUAAACCUGAGGUUGUGCCAUAUGCCUGCCAGCAAAAAAAUGUUGUAGGAUCCCCAGAAGAUGAAGUAAGUUGAAUAUCUUCCAAGUACAACCUUCUGCAGGGGAAGCUGUCG